UAGCCUAGCAUGUUUAUUUCUUAAUAUAAAGUAAUAUAUAAUCGAUUAUAAACAAAUGAAACCAGUAGAUUCAGACGAGGAGGAGGCGGAGCAGCUGGGUGCUUAUCAAAAGGAGCUCAGGCAGCGGGCCAAUCAGAGCAUCCAGCAGCUGAGUAGUACUCUGGAGCAGCUGAAUCCUGGUGGUGAAGAGGUGGAGGAUGUCAGAGGCAGUGAUGGCAACCUUUUCACUGCCAUGGGUGAAGAGGACAAGGCUGUAUGGAGCCAAAAGACACAGAGCGAAGCAGUCAAUCAGCUGAAGAGCCUUUUACUGAAGCAAUGCAGAGAAAUGCCCGCUCCUCUCUCUCCUUCAAAGAAACACACUUCACCCAAGAGAUUACAGCAGGAGGGAAAGUCCAGUUUGCCUGCCUUUCAGGAUUUGGUCCCCAUGAUUCACAACCAGUCAGAGUACAUCCAACACCUGGAAGCUGAGGUCAAAUUCUGCAAGGAAGAGCUGCAGGGGAUGAAGCAGCGUGUCAGAGUGGUGGUGGUGGAGAAUGAGAGGCUGCAUUCAGAACUCAAAUCCAGAGUGGAUGAAUCUCUGAAAGAUUACACCUUGCAAAACUCCAUGGUGAAUGAGGGCAUGGCAGCCAACAGCCGCAUUGUCUCCAAUACAGGACACUCUGUGCUGCAAAGGGCAGAACACACCGGAUGGAAAAAUGAGCUGGAACAAUUGAAAGUGAUCUACCAGGCCCAGAUUGAAAGCUUGGAGGCUCAGGUCAUUUCUCUCAGGAAGGAUCUGUCGGUCAGCCAGAAGGAGUGUGAGGAGGUGAAGGUUCGUCUGAGACACAGGGAGAAACAGGCUGCAGAUGCACUGAGGACUGAUGGAGCUCCCCGUGUGGCAGGAUUGUGUCUUCAGUGUGCACAGCAUGAAGCAGUCUUGGCUGGGACUCACACAAAUCUGCAUGUCCAGGCUAUUGACAGGCUCACAAAGGAGCGUGAUGAGUUGCUGGUGGCUCUACGCGCUGUGCGGGCAAGUCAGCAUGAGGCGCAACAUCGGGAGUGGUCAGCCUGUCUUCAGGUCAAACAGGCCGUGGAGAUGGCCGAAGACGCAAAUCUUCACAAAGCGAGGGUGGAGGUACAGUGUGAGCAGCUCUCAAGGGAGUUGGCUCGACAGAGAGAACAGCUAGAAAGAGAAGCCCAGGCCCUGCAGGAGAGACUGGCUGAGGCCAGAGAGGAGGGCCAGACUGAGGCCCGCAAACAGAAAGAGGAGCUGGCACAUACAGUGUCCAACCUUUCCCAGCGUGCAGCUGAGUUGGAAGGGCAGCUGGACAGAGCUCACAGAGACAAGAGCUCACUGACCAAUCAGCUGGAAGACGCUCUUCGCAAACUUACCAGUCAGGAACAAGACAAUACCAAGGUGUGUGUGGAUCUGAGAUAUCAGCUCAGCCAGGCCCAACUGAAGAGAGAGGAGGCAGAGAGAGAGCUCCGAGAGCUCAACUCCAAGACCAAGAGGCAGAUGGAAAAGGCUGCACAGGAAGUGGAAAGGCUGAGCUCAGAGCUGGUUGGCUGUCGGCAGCAUCUGGAGGCGGUCCAAAAGGACGGGAGCCAAUGGCAGGCCGAAGCCCUGAGCCUAGCAGAACAGCUGGCAAAUGCCCAGCGCCAACUGCACCUCACCAGACAGGAGAGAGAGAGUGCGGAACGAGCUCAUGAGGAUGAAAUGACGUCUGCGACCCAGGCAUCACGCGAGCGAGAGAGAGAGCUGACUGUGCUGCUGGAGCAAACAGAAGCACAACACCAGCAGAGAGUCAGAGAGCUGGACGGUCUGCUGAGCUCCCAGAAUGCCCUGAUCAGGAAGCUGAAGGAGGAGUGCUGCACACUGGGAGUCAAACUGGAAGAGUUGACAGAAAACAGCAGGAGUGAGCUGGAGCAGCUGUCCCUGGAGAAGCAACACCUAGAGGACACGGUGAGGAGUCUGAGAGCUCGCUGCUCCAACAUGGAGGAGCAGUGUGUCCAGCACGGCCGCAUGCACCAGCGCAUGAAAGACAGGACCCUGCUGCGUCGUGCUGUGGUGCUGUGUGAUGGAGUAGGAGGGAGGAGGAGAAUGGGAGGACGGAGAUGGGUUUGGCUGGUCAGGACACCUUGGCAGCCGGCUGUAGUUGCACCAGGCUGCGAGGGAAGUCAUCGCCCGCAGCCUCCAGGACUGGACAGAGCCUCCAGGUCUGGGAUAAACCAGUCAGGAUGGAAGGAUGGAGGAUCAAGGAGGGCAGGAUGCUGCAGCAGUUGGACCGUCACUGUCAGAGCAGCGCCCAGCAGGUGUGUGAGCUGUUGGCCAAACAGACCCAGCUGAUGCAGGAGAGAAACACACUCAAUGAGGAGAUGAAGAACCUACGCAUAGAGCUUCCCAACACAAGACGAGUCGACACCCUGACCACAUGAAUCUGUCCUGCCUGCCUUCUCCUUCAUCAUCACCUCUGCUCUUCUGUGUGGAUUUGUUCAGCAUCAGAAAUCUCCUGUCAAACUGUUAAUCUUUUUUUUUUUUUUUUCAAUGGCUGAUUUGCAGGAAGACUGAUACAUAUACAGUAUGUGUGUUUAUUUUACAUUAAGGUGCAGUGAACACAAAAUGUUUACAUUAUGUUUUACCAGAACUGAAAAUCAGGUUUAUAUUUUAUAUUUUGCAAUGGACUGAUACUGCAGUAUAUAGAGUGGUUAAAGGCAUUAGGAUGAUGUUUUAAUGUUUUUAUAUAAAACAUUUUUUGAGAUUUCUUUCCAGAUUUAAUUUAAAAAAAAUAAAAAAAUUAGUGGUACAUUUAUGAACUUUUGGGAUGGACUGCAUUAUUAAUUAAAUACAGCUUUCUAGAUUUUCUUAUGAUAAUCUUGAGCUAAAAGGCAGUAAAUAGGAUUUUUUAGCUACAAAACAAACAAAAAGCCCACACCAUUACAGCAGAUUGACAUAGUGCUUUAUUGAAGCUGUCUGUAAGAAGGAAAAUAAUGUGCAUCCCUAUCAUAUACAUUUUAUGUGUAAAAAUACUAAGGAUGUACAGUGUAAAAAACAGCUUCAUGUUGAUGGUAAUUUGUUGUUUUCACAUCCUCGCGGCCUCACUGGCCAGCAUCCUGACAGCAUGAGGGACAGAAAAAGGCUGUUUGAUCUGCUUUUCUCUGAAUCUUUCUGGAUCUGCUGGGGUUCCCGACACUGUCUCAGAGUCAACAUCAGCUCUGCUCCGCUGACAAGUCACGGAGCAAAGCUGACUUUAGUAUUACAGUGCUUCAGGGAAACGGGCCCACUCAGAAAUGUCUCACACAGCUGUAAAGCUACAGUAGAUGGACAUGGACAUGAAAUUAAAAGUCAGUUACACUUUGUAAUAUUUGUACAUGUUUGCCAUUUUUUGUUUGCUGUUUAUAAAUAAAUGCAUUUCAUGCUUGUUCAUGUUAAUAAUCAAGAUGAUAAUAGACUAGUACCAGAGAGAUAAGAAAG